GUGGUUCAGUGGUAGAAUUCUCACCUUCCAAGUGGGAUCCGGGUUCAAUUCCUGGC
rnacentral:tRNA from 1 species